rnacentral:lncRNA from 1 species
AGAGGCGCUUUCGGCUUCCAAGGGGGAAGUGCUGGGCUAUAAUUAAUGUUUUUAUUAAAUUUGGAGGGAAGUUUUUGCAGCCUUUCGCCUAGCGUGGCCUUCAGGUGGGUCUUUCCAACAACUUUUUAUGUCUCUCCAGAUAAUUGCAUGGUUGUGGGUCGCAAAAACUAUCCUGAUGAAAGAGGUGUCUCCGUCUCUUUAGUCCCGUUAGGUGCAAAGCAAGUCUCGUUGAUCGCCAUUGCUAGUUUUGCACACGUUUGCGAAUCAGAGCUGCCCGGGGUACACCGACCGCGCAGGGAAACAUCGAGAGUGUAAAUAAAUACAUCGCCUCUUGUUCGGAUUUUUGCUACUACCGAAAAUAUGUAAAUUGUGAACUCUGUUGGCUCUCUUUGGAUCCAGGUUGAUAGAAGUCCAGAUCCUGAGGAAAUCUCCAGCUAAAUGCUCAAAAUAUAAAAUACUGAGCUGAGAUUUGCGAAGAGCAGCAGCAUGGAUGGAUUUUAUGACCAGCAAGUGCCUUACAUGGUCACCAAUAGUCAGCGUGGGAGA